rnacentral:rRNA from 1 species
CAUUACCGAAUUGUCAACACGAGUUGUUGCUGGUNNNCANANGAGGGCAUGUGCACGCUCUGUUUACACAUCCANUCACACCUGUGCACCCUCUGUAGUUCUAUGGUCUGAGGGGCUCUGUCCUCUCGCCGNGGCUCUAUGUCUUUACNCACGCACUGUAAUAAAGUUUCAUGGAAUGCAUGACGCGUUUAACGCAAUACAAUACAACUUUCAGCAACGGAUCUCUUGGCUCUCGCAUCGAUGAAGAACGCAGCGAAAUGCGAUAAGUAAUGUGAAUUGCAGAAUUCAGUGAAUCAUCGAAUCUUUGAACGCACCUUGCGCCCUUUGGCUAUUCCAGAGGGCAUGCCUGUUUGAGUAUCAUGAACACCUCAACUCUCACGGUUUGCCGUGAUGAGCUUGGACUUUGGAGGUCUUGCCGGCCCGUGGUUGGCUCCUCUCAAAUGAAUCAGCUUGCCAGUGUUUGGUGGCAUCCCAGGUGUGAUAACUAUCUACGCUUGUGGCUUUCCACCAGGUAACCUUCAGCGAUGGAGGUUCGCUGGGGCUCACAAAUGUCUCUCCCAAGUGAGGACGGCUUCUUGAAUGUUUGAUCUCAAAUCAGGUAGGGCUACCCGCUGAACUUAAGCAUAUCAAUAAGCGGAGGAAAAGAAACUAACAAGGAUUCCCCUAGUAACUGCGAGUGAAGCGGG